GGUUGAACUCGAAUCAGGUAGGAGUACCCGCUGAACUUAAGCAUAUC
rnacentral:rRNA from 1 species